rnacentral:tRNA from 1 species
GUGGGUACAGCCCAGUGGUAGAGCAUGUGCUUUAGCAUGCACGAGGUCCUGGGUUCAAUUCCCAGAACCACC